rnacentral:rRNA from 1 species
AGUGAACGCUGGCGGUAGGCCUAACACAUGCAAGUCGAACGGCAGCACAGUAAGAGCUUGCUCUUACGGGUGGCGAGUGGCGGACGGGUGAGGAAUACAUCGGAAUCUACUUUUUCGUGGGGGAUAACGUAGGGAAACUUACGCUAAUACCGCAUACGACCUACGGGUGAAAGCAGGGGAUCUUCGGACCUUGCGCGAUUGAAUGAGCCGAUGUCGGAUUAGCUAGUUGGCGGGGUAAAGGCCCACCAAGGCGACGAUCCGUAGCUGGUCUGAGAGGAUGAUCAGCCACACUGGAACUGAGACACGGUCCAGACUACUACGGGAGGCCGCAGUGGGGAAUAUUGGACAAUGGGCGCAAGCCUGAUCCAGCCAUACCGCGUGGGUGAAGAAGGCCUUCGGGUUGUAAAGCCCUUUUGUUGGGAAAGAAAAGCAGCAGGUUAAUACCCCGCUGUUCUGACGGUACCCAAAGAAUAAGCACCGGCUAACUUCGUG